ensembl:Y_RNA Y_RNA Y RNA
GGCUGAUCUGAAGGUAGUCAGUUAUCUUAAUCUACUCAGUCAGUUAUCUUAAUUGACUGUUUACAGUCAGUUAAAGAUUGAAUUCCUUGCUCUACUCUUUCCCUCUUAAUAGGGCACUUGACUAGUCUUUU